AGAGUUUGAUCCUGGCUCAGGACGAACGCUGGCGGCACGCUUAACACAUGCAAGUCGAACGGAGAAUAUCGAAGCUUGCUUUGAUAUUCUUAGUGGCGGACGGGUGAGUAACACGUGAGUAACCUGCCUCUGAGAGUGGGAUAGCUUCUGGAAACGGAUGGUAAUACCGCAUGAAAUCAUAGUAUCGCAUGGUACAAUGAUCAAAGAUUUAUCGCUCAGAGAUGGACUCGCGUCUGAUUAGCUAGUUGGUAAGGUAACGGCUUACCAAGGCGACGAUCAGUAGCCGGACUGAGAGGUUGAUCGGCCACAUUGGGACUGAGACACGGCCCAGACUCCUACGGGAGGCAGCA
rnacentral:rRNA from 1 species